AAAACUCAAAAAGGCAAAAUCGCUACAGGGAAGAAAUGGUUUGAAAAAACCGCAUAAAAGGAGACCUAAGUGUAUUUAACGUUCAGAAAGAAUUCGCCAUAUAUAUUUUUUUCUUAAUUUUACUAACAAAAUCUAAUUUUUAUUAACUAAGCCUUAAUUGUAUAUCUAUAUAUCGUUACCUUAAUAUAGAAAGGCCCUAACUCAUAUAGUCGCUGAGACGCAAAAAUCCGUAACUGACUAAAAUUUGUUAUUUCUUAAAAUGUUGUGGGGGCUUAUAAUAAGAUGAAAUGCAUCAUAAACAAUCAAAAAGGAAAUUUUGGAUUUUUACUUUAACAGCCUAAUUCUUAAAAAAAAAACUUAAAAUGCUUUAUAAACGUAUAAUAGUAAAGGCACAUUUCAUUUUUAUAAAAGUGUAAAGUAAGCACUAUUCAUAAAUAUUUUAUAAGAGUUUUGUAACUACAAAUAUUUGUAAAGCGUUUGGUGUCAAAACUCGAAAUAAAUACGGCAGGUUUGGCUAGAAAAAUGUCAAGACCCUUUCAGUCAGUUGAAAAAAAUAAUAUAAACAUUCAUUUGUUGGAAAUAUAAUUUAACUAAGCGCUUUAGUUAUAUUAGCAAUGGAGCAAAAGAAACGGAACAGGGGGGAUAAUUGGACUACGUAAGAUAAGGCUUUGCUUCAAGAAUUAGUUCGUGAACGGGUGAACAUUAUUGAAAAUAAGAACACGGAUACAAACUCAAAUAAGGCGAAACAAGAGGCCUGGAGAGACUUACAAGAGAGCUUCAGUGAGAUAUGUGCAACUAAGCGAACUGUGAUCCAAUUGAAAUCAGACUGUUGCUGAACCAUUAUCAAACGAAGACAUCUCCGUUUGGCAGCCAAAUGAGUUUGUUGUCAACUUCAAUUCAUUUGAUUCGGACAAAAUACAGCAGAAUCCUUCAGGUGUAGAAGCAACAAAAAUGAUUUUGGAUUGCAACUUAAAGUGUACGAAAAAGUGGCAUGUAAUGAAAAUGGAAACUGAAAGGAAGAAGCAAAGGAAUUUGGACUUGGGAUAUGAAAUUCUAAAAAGCAAUGCGAAUUUUAUGAAAAGAGGCAAAGUUAAAAUAAAUUAAAAAACAGUUAAUAUUUCUUGGCGAUAUGUUAUUUUU